rnacentral:rRNA from 1 species
GAUGAACGCUGGCCGCGUGCUUAACACAUGCAAGUCGAACGAUGAAGCCCAGCUUGCUGGGUGGAUUAGUGGCGAACGGGUGAGUAACACGUGAGUAACCUGCCCUUAACUCUGGGAUAAGCCUGGGAAACUGGGUCUAAUACCGGAUAGGAGCGUCCACCGCAUGGUGGGUGUUGGAAAGAUUUAUCGGUUUUGGAUGGACUCGCGGCCUAUCAGCUUGUUGGUGAGGUAAUGGCUCACCAAGGCGACGACGGGUAGCCGGCCUGAGAGGGUGACCGGCCACACGGGGCUUGGGAACCGGCCCAUACUCCUCCGGGGGGAAGGGGGGGGGAAUUUGGCAAAAGGGGCGAAGGCCGUGAUCAGGGCCCCCGGGUGGGGGAAGACGGCCUUCGGGUGGGAACCCUUUUUCAGUAGGAAAGAAGCGAAAGGACCGUGCCCGGCAGAAAAAGCCCCGGUAACUACCGU